CCAACAAUGUGAUCUUGCUUGCGGAGGCAAAAUUUGCACAGUAUAAAAUCUGCAAGUAGUGCUAUUGUUGGAAUCACCGUACCUAUUUAGGUUUACGCUCCAAGAUCGGUGGAUAGCAGCCCUAUCAAUAUCUAGGAGAACUGUGCUAUGUUUAGAAGAUUAGGUAGUCUCUAAACAGAACAAUUUACCUGCUGAACAAAUU
rnacentral:other from 1 species